CCUGGAUUUAUCGGGUUUAAAGGGUGCGCAGGCUGAUCGGUAAGUCAUGGGUGAAAAGUCACUGCUUAACAGUGAUCGUGCUAUGAUACUGCCGGACUAGAGUUUAAGAGGUGUAACUGGAAUGUGAUGUGUAGCGGUGAAAUGCUUAGAUAUGUCACAGAACGCCAAUCGUGAAGACAGGUUACAAACUUAAUACUGACGCUCAUGCACGAAAGCGUGGGGAUCAAACAGGAUUAGAUACCCUGGUAGUCCACGCUGUAAACGAUGAUCACUCGUUGUUGGGUAGUAAUACUCAGUGGCUAAGCGAAAGCGAUAAGUGAUCCACCUGGGGAGUACGAUCGCAAGGUUGAAACUCAAAGGAAUUGACGGGGGCCCGCACAAGCGGAGGAGCAUGUGGUUUAAUUCGAUGAUACGCGAGGAACCUUACCCGGGCUUGAACGUAAGACGAAUAUACAGGAAACUGUAUAGCCUACGGGCGUCUUGCGAGGUGCUGCAUGGUUGUCGUCAGCUCGUGCCGUGAGGUGUUAGGUUAAGUCCUGCAACGAGCGCAACCCUUACACAUAGUUGCCAGCACGUAAUGGUGGGGACUCUAUGGGAACUGCCUACGCAAGUAGAGAGGAAGGUGGGGAUGACGUCAAAUCAGCACGGCCCUUAUGUUCGGGGCUACACACGUGCUACAAUGGCAUAUACAGAGGGCAGCCACUACGCGAGUAGGCGCUAAUCCUCAAAGUAUGUCUCAGUUCGGAUUGGAGUCUGUAACUCGACUCUAUGAAGUUGGAUUCGCUAGUAAUCGCGCAUCAGC
rnacentral:rRNA from 1 species